CUUAAAUCCCUGUCAGUCUGAGAAGGGAGGCUCAUGUUGAGUACAGCGAGGCCUUGAACCAGUGGGUAAAGCUUUAAGCAACAUCUCUGCCUGCAUAACCCGAAUGUUUUGCAGUGUUCCCUAUAAUUGUGCUCCGGAGCUUUUGCCAUGCGACAGGGCUGUGUGUGCAGCACUUUUUAUAGAGGGGGAGGGCUGAGCCCGGAGAGGCUGCAUGGCUCCCACAGCCUAGGGCAGGAAAUUUGUGGUCCCUUGGAGGCUCUAGAUAUACCAGGAGUGUCCAGAUUGUGGGUCUGCUUAUCUUCAGGCACAGAGCAGUGGUGGCACCCAGCUCAGUACCAGAUGUCAAGGUCCCCGGCACUAGAAGGAAGGAGGGGCUGAAUGCAUAAUGUCAGUGCAUUAUCCAGACUGCCUACCUAAUCAGAAAGUAACGCUCAAACAGGUGAGUGGCAUUUGGGCUUCUAAAAAUCUUGCAAGGAUAUAGCAGCAUGCAUAAUUUUUAUUCUCCUUCUUGUUCUCACUCAGGAUUUUGUUUGUUUGAUAGGUGUCUCUGUGUGUUUUAUGUGGAUGGUUUUAUUAGUUUACUCUUAGUCUAAUAAGAAACCUAUUUUGCAUAAGUAUCUCUGCAUAUGAUGUGUCACUACUGGGCUGGAGCAGUGAUGUAUCAUCACAGCCUUAUGGAAUUUGUUUCCCCUCAGACAUCUCAUAAUAAAUUGCAGGGUUUUUUUCA
rnacentral:lncRNA from 1 species